rnacentral:sRNA from 1 species
UGCAAGCGGCUAGCUGCCGCGCUCGGGAU